rnacentral:misc_RNA from 1 species
UAGGUUUUGUUUGAUAUAUUUAUGUUUCUCUUACUGUGCUAAUGAAUGUUCCAAAAUGAAGCAAAGUUAGUGCUAUGAAGCAUAAGUUGUAUUUGUAGUUGUUGCAGCCUAUGCUUCGAGAAAAGGUUAAAUUUUGACUAGGGCAUGUUAGGAGUAGUAACUAGUAAGGUAGAGGAGUUAGCCCAUACUAGUAAUGCAAUUUUUCUGCCUCAACAAUUUUCAGGGCAAAGCCACAGCUGGAAAGCAA